UACGUAGGGGGCAAGCGUUGUCCGGAUUUAUUGGGCGUAAAGAGCGUGUAGGCGGCCAGGUAGGUCAGCUGUGAAAACUCGAGGCUCAACCUCGAGACGUCGGUUGAAACCAUCUGGCUAGAGUCCGGAAGAGGAGAGUGGAAUUCCUGGUGUAGCGGUGAAAUGCGCAGAUAUCAGGAGGAACACCGGUGGCGAAGGCGGGUCUCUGGGCCGAUACUGACGCUGAGGAGCGAAAGCGUGGGGAGCGAACAGG
rnacentral:rRNA from 1 species